AGCCUACUAGUUUAGAGAAAGAUGGUCUAAACCGUUGGUUUUCGACCGCUACGACCCGGGUUCGAUUCCCGCGUUGGGUA